ensembl:lncRNA
CAAAUUCAACCCAGGCUGCGGGUGCGAUCCUUCCUCCUCCUGCCCCUCUCUGUGGUGGGUGCCCGGGCACGGCGAAAGGUUGUCUUCUAUUAUUACUACCAUUGUUGUUGUUAUUAUUAUGACUCUCCUCGUUCUUAUCUUCUCUUUUGUCAUCCGGACGGUUGAGCCGCGGGCGCGGAGGGGAACGCGGUGUUUGCAUGCUUCUCGAGAAAAAGGGGGACCCCCUCACCCCCUCUUUGCGUAUGCGUGAAGCUGCUCUCCUUGGGGCACGGCAAUUAACUCUCUCGCUCUCAACUUAAUUCCAGUGCGGUCCCCGUCUCCUCCUCGGCCGGGAGCCCCCGGCUCCAACGCCGCUCAUUAAAGGCUCCUUCCGUAGCUAACAGAGCCCCCAGCCCCUCUGUAAGAAUAAGGGACCCGGCCUAUUUUCCCUCUCCUUUUCUUUCUUUGUGAGGUUAGGAUGAUGCUACAAGUUUGCAAAGGGAAGUACCGGGGAGAAAGGAAAAAAAAAAGAAGGGUUUCAGAGAUUGUUUAUUACAGCCAUAAAUCUUGCAGUAAAAUGUCGAAAUGGCCGUGUGCAAGAUAACACUUGGUGGUCUUGGCUGGGUUCUUGUUUAUGAUAACAAAACCACAAAGACAUGGAACAGGCCUUUUGGAGGUCCUGCCUCAGCACAUCUCCGCAGCCUGAUAGAACCCCGCAGAAACAGGCUGAGCCCGGCACCUCGGGUCACCUUGCAGAUUUACGGCCGCGCACAGCACCGCAUCCUUCUCCGUCCAACCCGGCGCCAGAGCCGCACAGUAGAGAGGUGCAGCGAAAAGAGCGUUCUCCGAGAUCUAAUCGCGGUCAAUAAUAGGAAGCAGAACCCUCUCGGCUCGCCGGCGCAGAGCUGAGCCUACAAAUCGGGACAGCGGUUUUCGUUGUGUUUGCUCGUGCCUCGGGAGCACGGAGCCUGCUGUUCCGAGCCAGCCAUAGAGCCUCCGGACUUGCCUUAUGCCGAGGAUAACGUGCCCGGUACCGCAGGGCAACGCAUCUGGUGGCGGCCAGCAGCGUGCUGCUGAGUCUGUGUGCGUGUGUGUAACCGCAUUUCCUCUCCACGCAGAGUAAAUAGAGGAACUUAUCUAUUACCCCAGUUAAAGAGUUCCAUAGAUGUUCUGUUGGAAACGACCCCAGCAACGCAGCAGUGGCCGGGUGCCCUCUCCCUCCCUCGCCAGGCGUUCUGCGAAGGCGAGAAAGAUUUCUCUUGGAACCGAGAAUUCAGAAAUAGAGCCAGCACCAGGCAAGAGAAGCGACAGUCUUACAUUCGUAGCUGGAAAGCGCAGCUCCGCGGGGAGGGAUGUUCGCAGCGAGCCCCGCGGCAGCCGGUAGGAAGCGUUUAUAGCACCGCGCCGCCUUCCCUCUCCUCCCCGUUAUUCCCCGGCUCCCCGUGCCCCCCGCACCCCACGAGACACGGAGGGGCUCCCCUCGGCCUUCCCGCGACGUCCGCGCUAACUUUGGGAUCUGCUCUUCCAGCAAGCGGGCUGCAGGGGGACGGGAGCUGCCGGCUCUCGGCUCGGGGAGAGGUCGCAGCGAAGGGAGGGGGUGAGGUGACCUCCACCCCGCAGCCCCGACGAGAGGCGUUGGGUGAUGGGUGCGUGGAGAGCUAUUGUGCAACGCUCAGCUCAGCGCCUGCCUCCCUCCCCGGGGCUGCGCACUGCUUCCCCUGCCCGCUUUCUGACACGAAAGGAGGAAAAAAAAAAAAUAGAAAAGAAAAGAAAAAAAAAAAAAGAUGACGAGGGUGAGGACUGUCAGUUCUGGAUUAGUUUUAUCUCGCUUGACACCGCGAGUGCCGGCCGUAACCCGGGCGGGAGGAG